UACGGGGGGGGUAAGCGUUGUUCGGAAUUACUGGGCGUAAAGGGCUCGUAGGCGGCCAACUAAGUCAGACGUGAAAUCCCUCAGCUUAACUGGGGAACUGCGUCUGAUACUGGAUGGCUUGGAUUUGGGAGAGGGAUGCAGAAUUCCAGGUGUAGCGGUGAAAUGCGUAGAUAUCUGGAGGAAUACCGGUGGCGAAGGCGGCAUCCUGGACCGACAUUGACGCUGAGGAGCGAAAGCUAGGGGAGCAAACGGG
rnacentral:rRNA from 1 species